rnacentral:rRNA from 1 species
GAUGAACGCUGGCGGCGUGCCUAAUACAUGCGAGUCGAGCGAACAGACGAGGAGCUUGCUCCUCUGACGUUAGCGGCGGACGGGUGAGUAACACGUGGAUAACCUACCUAUAAGACUGGGAUAACUUCGGGAAACCGGAGCUAAUACCGGAUAAUAUAUUGAACCGCAUGGUUCAAUAGUGAAAGACGGUUUUGCUGUCACUUAUAGAUGGAUCCGCGCCGCAUUAGCUAGUUGGUAAGGUAACGGCUUACCAAGGCAACGAUGCGUAGCCGACCUGAGAGGGUGAUCGGCCACACUGGAACUAAGACACGGUCCAGACUCCUACGGGAGGCAGCAGUAGGGAAUCUUCCGCAAUGGGCGAAAGCCUGACGGAGCAACGCCGCGUGAGUGAUGAAGGUCUUCGGAUCGUAAAACUCUGUUAUUAGGGAAGAACAAAUGUGUAAGUAACUAUGCACGUCUUGACGGUACCUAAUCAGAAAGCCACGGCUAACUACGUG